GGGAAGACAGGCUUGAGGCGCGGCUCUUUAGGGACCCCCUACCCCCCGCCUAGGUCUUUGUCUUUUCUAAAAAUCCACUACUUUGUGAAGAGGGUUCAGGGGAAGGUACUGGAUCUUUUAAAUUUUUAUUUGAAAAAUAUCGAAGACUUUAGGGGAAAAUAAAAUACCUUCAUCUCCUGCUUCCCGAGGUCUGGAUUUUAAGGAUGGAGAUGGGGCCAGAAAACUGCAAGGAUCUACACCCACGGGGCUUCAGAAAACCAGGCUGCAGAGGGAAUCGUUUCCACCUGGUUGGAUGAGGCUGGAAGUCAGAGUCCCUUCGCCAGAUGAUCGUGAGGUCCCCCGCUGUUAAGGGAAGAUCAGUUGGAGACUUCUGAGACCUGGCUUCCUGGAGAGCAAGGAAAGGCCGGGUGGUCUGACCUAGAUGGCCUUGGAGUUCCCCUCAGCUGGACUACUCUUUAGACAGAUUUCUUCCUAACAUAAGUCCCUGAGCGCCCUCUUCUUACAGCGUUUACUUUAGAAAACUUUCCAUUGUAAAUUCUUUCUCUACUCCCUUGAGAUGUAAAUCAUCUCCCAGCUUCUCACCAGUUUUCCCGCCCAGGAAAGUCUUUCUCAAGGACCUGGGAGCCAUCCCUUGGAAGUGGAAUCAUCAAGGAAGAGAGCACCUCUCUCUCUCUCUGCAAAGGUAGAAGCCAAACUACAAUAAGCACCAAUUAGCAAACAGAUGGCCUAGUCACCUUGACCAACGCCCCCUCCCACUCCCAUCAUCAUCCAGGACUUUUCCAGUAGCUCACCCCAGGGCUUAAAAAGCCUCCUGCCUUUUACAUCAGUGGACUUCAGUUCAGUCUCUGUCUGUCUGUCUGUCUGUCUGUCUGUCUCUCUCUCUCUCUCUCUCCCCCUCUCCCUCUCCUACCGCAACGUCUUGAAUGAAGUCUUCCUUGCCUGUUGAACUAUGUCCAGUGCCACUUUUCUUUGACCCUCCCCUUCUCUCACGAACACGGGAGGCUCUCCUCAGCACAAUUCCUAAGACCACUUUUGGCACAGGAAGGGAAAAUAUAAGUGAGAAA
rnacentral:lncRNA from 1 species